GACGAACGCUGGCGGCGUGCUUAACACAUGCAAGUCGAGCGGUAAGGCCCUUUCGGGGGUACACGAGCGGCGAACGGGUGAGUAACACGUGGGUGACCUGCCCUCAGCUCUGGGAUAAGCCUGGGAAACCGGGUCUAAUACCGGAUAUGACUCCAUGACGCAUGUUGUGGGGUGGAAAGCCUUGUGCGGCUGAGGAUGGGCCCGCGGCCUAUCAGCUUGUUGGUGGGGGAUGGCCUACCAAGGCGACGACGGGUAGCCGGCCUGAGAGGGCGACGGCCACACUGGGACUGAGACACGGCCCAGACUCCUACGGGAGGCAGCAGUGGGGAAUCUUGCGCAAUGGGCGAAAGCCUGACGCAGCGACGCCGCGUGAGGGAUGACGGCCUGGUUGUAAC
rnacentral:rRNA from 1 species